UAAACUUUUUUUCUAGUUUUAUUAGUUUUUUUUAUUUGUUUGCAACAUCAGAUAUUUUAGAACAAGAUAUUCGACUCGUUGUUCGACUUUGAACUACAAGUUGAUGUUUGAAGCACUUUUAUUGGUUAACUAUACCAAAUGUACUUUCGACUAAUUUCAAUAUUCGAAAUAAUGAUUACUAUUUUGGUUUCGAUUAAAAAUUAGACCCGAACUUCGCAGAGUCUCAGCUACUUUAUUAUUCUUAUGCAAAGUUUGAAAAUUAUUUUUAAACAGAAACAAGUUAUGCUACAAAUGCAGCUGAAAAAUAAUUCAACUUUUAAAAAAAAUAGCCAUUUUUUAACUUUCAGUAAACUUGCAUUCCACUAAAAAAUUCAAAAUAAGAUUUGAUUCGUGAAAACCGUGAAACAAUUUUGCCACUCAAAAUUUUUUUUCUUACCAUUUCAUCAAUCUCAACGUUUUGAACCAGAUGAACGGUUACGUCAUAUUCUUACGACAUACAGUGUAGAUUACAUCAUUAUUCCUGAUUGCAUCAUACAACAAUGAUAGUGAAAUUUAGUAAUGCGACUGUGGACGCCCACACACUCUCUCUAGUGGGUGCAGUGAUUGAGGCUGUCAACCUGCUUUUACAGUUCAUAUCCCACAGAAGUAUUUGGGGGGUGGGUAAUGAGAUGACUUUUGGACCCUGGAAAACAUGUAUAGAUUAUGGACGUUUAUUCAACAGCACUUACUGGCACGGAGUAGGCCAACAAUGUAACCACUCCGACAACUUCGACCAGCCUAUAAUUGUCAUCAUAGUGUGUCUCCUACUCUUAUCUAACGCCAUUGGGUGUUGUAUCGUGACUGUUAAUUUGUUCAUUGUUCUCGGAAAAUGGCAGGGAAUCAUAUCGAGAAGUGUUCUGGUCGGGCUCGCUAUCGCCCAGUUCUUAUUCUGUGUUAUCUGCUCUUCGCUCGGCACAUCCGAGUUCACUGGCUCAACAAGCGAAGCUCAUGACAGAUCAAUGGGAGUAGAUCUAGUUCUACUCUGGAUUGCUUCAAUUCUCUCUGUGCUUCAAAUUGCAAAUUCAACUAUCAGUCUCUUUUAUGUUAAAGAGAUAAACUACUGACUAUUGAUUCGAUUCUGAUGAGAGAGAGAGAUGAAAAAAAUAUAUUUGAAAAAAACGACACACUGAAAAAAAAACUCGAAAUUUCUAAAAGGUCGAUUUUCUCCAAUACAUUUUAAAAACCUUCAAUAUUUUGGUUUGGGAUAAUUUUAAGUUUCAAAAUAUGAGUUGAUUUUGUUUCAAUGUAAAAAUUGCUAAGCAUGGAAAAAAACUGGCACCAGGAAAAAAAAUCAGUUAAACCCAUCAUUUGCAGUGACAAUCGUAGCUUAAUCCAAAUAAAUUUAUAUUAAUUUUUUUCUCCACUACUUAGGCUCGACCGCACAACCAACUAAAGCAAUCAAAUGAAAUUUUGAUCACAAAAAUUAGAAGGAAGUUUGAACUCUAGUGUUUUUUCCACACACACUUACACACACACACACACACACACACACAUACACACACAUACACACACACACAAAAGAACAACAUUCCUUAUAAAACAUCAAAAAAUGAAUUUAAAAAGAUUUUCACAAUAAACUCCUUUUGGUAUAAACGUUUCAGCAGCACUUAACAUCUGAUCAGAGAUGAAAUCAGAAAAUCAGAAAAAGUAGAAACUAAUGGCAGCAGUCAAUCAGGAUUAACUCAAAGCUAGUUUUUUUAUAAUUCUUUUUCAAUUUUUUAACCAAAAAUUAGAUUAUGCGAUUACUAAAACUUGACGCAAUUACUAAAAGUUACGAAAUUCGAUUUUGU